rnacentral:rRNA from 1 species
AGUCUCAGUUCAGAUUGUGGCUGAAACUCGCCUAUAUGAAGUCGGAAUUGCUAGUAAUCGCGAAUCAGAAUGUCGCGGUGAAUACGUUCCCGGGCCUUGUACACACCGCCCGUCACACCAUGAGAGUCGAUAACACCCGAAGCCUGUGAGCUAACCGCAAGGGGGCAGCAGUCGAAGGUGGGGUUGAUGAUUGGGGUGAAGUCGUAACAAGGUACC